rnacentral:sRNA from 1 species
CCAUUCUCCAAAUCUAUUUCUGUGAGUAUUUGGAAG